AUGAACGCUGGCGGCGUGCCUAAUACAUGCCAGUCGCGCGAACAGGCGAGGAGCUUGCUCCUCUGACGUUAGCGGCGGACGGGUGAGUAACACGUGGAUAACCUACCUAUAAGACUGGGAUAACUUCGGGAAACCGGAGCUAAUACCGGAUAAUAUAUUGAACCGCAUGGUUCAAUAGUGAAAGACGGUUUUGCUGUCACUUAUAGAUGGAUCCGCGCCGCAUUAGCUAGUUGGUAAGGUAACGGCUUACCAAGGCAACGAUGCGUAGCCGACCUGAGAGGGUGAUCGGCCACACUGGAACUGAGACACGGUCCAGACUCCUACGGGAGGCAGCAGUAGGGAAUCUUCCGCAAUGGGCGAAAGCCUGACGGAGCAACGCCGCGUGAGUGAUGAAGGUCUUCGGAUCGUAAAACUCUGUUAUUAGGGAAGAACAAAUGUGUAGGUAACUAUGCACGUCUUGACGGUACCUAAUCAGAAAGCCACGGCUAACUACGUG
rnacentral:rRNA from 1 species